AAAAGCUUGUUUAUUUUUAUUGAUUUGAAAGCAAAAAACCGCCGAAUACGCAUGCUAUAGCUAUUCACUUUCAUCAGUCGUCGCUAGAUGGAAGGUUAGCAUAUCUGGAGGGCGGAGUGCCGGAGUCACGGCUGUCAUGGCGGAGUGCAAUGUGAGUGCAUGAUGAAGAGCAGAUUUUUUAAUGGCUAUAAUUUUUGUAAUGUAAUUCAUAGAUGGGGAAAGAAACUUCCACUCAAAAGAAAGAAAUGCUGGGUUGAAGUUGAUGAUGCAAAAUUUUCAUGUUUCCAUGUUAGUUAAAAAGCAUUAGCAGAAUAUAAAUCUUUGGCUUGUCACAUCAGCAGAUAAUCCCAAACCCAGGGAAGAAGUCUAGAACAAGUGGCUAAAGCAGACACACUCUUCCAAUGUGUUCAACAGGAUCAGAAGUUAAACUUUCAUCAAUGAUGCCAAGCUUCUAAGGACUUAAAAAAACGGUUUCUCAUUUCACAGUCAUGGUGAUCCCAAAGAAGAUGACCAUUGAAGUUCUAGUUCUCUAUGCAGAGACAAAACGAUAGUUGGCUGAAAACAAUGGAUGUACAUGGCUCAUUUUAUCAUCACUCUGGGUGGUGGACGUGUUAUAAAAUUUUUUCCACAAGAAUGCAGUCAACUAUUAUCAAAUCAAUUGCAAGAUGACCUUCUUUUUACUCCUAUCAUUUGGGGUUUAUUGUGACGCACUGACAGGUGGAUAGUGGCAGCAUAGUUUGAAACAGGGAUCCAUUCUUUCGUAGAGGCUAAAGCAUUUGACAGUAGCUAUCCAAAAAAAUCAUCUUUUGUGUAUUACGUUUCGGAUGGUUUCAAUUCGAACUAGCCCGGCGCAUCAGUGGGCCUUCUCCGACAAACCCAGAUUAGUUUCAUUAUUAAUCAUAUUUCGAAUUUUUAGAAAAUGGCUUAUUGUUUUUUUUAAAUUAUUUUUUUUGAACAUAUGUUGGUGGUAGACCGGAAUUCCAGAAUCAGAUGAGAUAUCUGGCGGUGACCGUAGAACAGGAUGCAUAUUCGGAAGUCAGCACAUCAAGAAUCGGAAACGUUGGUUCUUCGUUGCCAACGUCAGCCGCCUUAACUGAUCGUUGCUACCUGGACACUUCCCGACUCUUCACUCGCUUCGACGACGACAAAGAAUUUUUCCGGUUCCAAAUUUUAUGGUGCGAAAUUUCGUCGGUGGACCACACAUAUUGAGUCAUCGUUGAUAUGAUGCCUUUGUCUAUAAUAGUGAAGCAGAAGCGAUAACUGGGAGCAGCUGCCGAAUGAUUCUGGAACCACGAACUUACUUUUUAAAACAUUUCUUGUUUACAGCGCUAGAUGGCUAUAUCCUUAGUGAUGGAUCUCCAGUUCAACAGCAACUGUCGAAUGUUCCUGGAACUACGAACUUACUCGUCCGUUUGGUGCUCCGAUUCGCCAAUUAUUUGUUUGGUCGUUUGCAUCGUCACCGACUCCAACAUGACCGCAAUGAACCGAAACUAGGACGCUAUUUUGUUGCCGGGAGUAAUCAAAGAUAUCCUAUCGGUGCUGGAUCGUGGAUCGAAUCAUUCGUUCGGCUGAAGAAUAUCUCGAUUUUCUCGGAUGACCUGGCGCAAAAACUCACAGAUCUCGUCCGGGAUCAACUCGCUUAUUCAAUCCCGCCAUUUUGGGAUCAAAGAAAACUUUUACUCCUGAGCUGAAUUUCGUCCACCAUUCAACAACGGAUGCCACUGCUUCCAGUCAAUCUGCUGGACCGUAUUCCGGCUUAAAAGAUUCAUUUCAGAUUUUGUGAUUGCUUGAAAUUGCCAUGAACUUGUUUGUUUUUGUUUGUUUUCUGCAAUUCUUCUUGUUGUAGAUCGCCUAGACUAGCAUAUCUGAGUAAGUGUCUUAACAGUUUGCGUAUUGGCCUAGCCGAAGGUACUGGAGAAAGUAUGAUUGGCACCGAUCUUGUGCCCAUGGCCAGUUUUAGUGAUGGUAAGUCAGAGAACGUUUCCGUAAUUGUUGUCACAGAAGGAGUGAUUUAUGACUCCGGCUCUUUUAGUUAAAUUCCGUGUCAGAAACAAAAAGGUUUUCCAUUCAGGGUUCCCCAUCUGUCAUACCGGUAACAGCAGUAGUUAACGGCGUACAACGAAUUUUUUAUAUCAAGGAUUUUUCAUUUAAAUGCUACAGUGCAUAAAUGUUAGUAUUUGUUUUUGUAAGAGUUGAUAGGGGAAGUAUUGGGUUAGUACAUGCAUGGUGUUAUUUAUUGAAUAUACAUGGGAAACAUUGGGAGGCAAUAGAGGGGGGGACAUGUGGAAGGAGUAGGAAAAAAGGGGGCCUUUCUUAUCAUAACUAGGCGCCGCAACCAUGACACAGUGGUCCAACAUCCAAUUUGAUAAAUCUCGGGAAUUUCAUCGGAUCCUUUGAAGGGUUGGCUGAGAAUGCUGUGGAAUGUUUCAAUUUAGGCAACACAGGAGGUAGCGUAGCUAUUGGUUAUAGCUCCAAAUUGUCACGAGCUUUGUUUAUGAAUCUGGUCAGAAAAUGGAAGACUAAGAGGGUCGGAAGCAGAAGGUGCAUAGAACUCCGUGGUAUCGUCCAGAAAAAUGUGAAUAUAUUAAAAAAAAAAGUGUUAAGUUAAAAUUUUAUUUUUCAACAUUUUUACAUACAUUACCAUGACUAUUUAUAAUUGCGUAUCUAAGAGGACGUAACAUAGAGUGUUUAAGGAUUGAUCUACAGUAGCGUUGGUAGUUGUAAGGGGUACUCGUGAGGUCGUGACUAUUUCUUUCAGUCUUCAUUAUGCAGUGUUGUGUUGGCAAUGGAGGAGUAUGUUUGUCAGACUUGUGUUUUAGUCAUCCGUGUGGACAAUCGGUUUGACUGAGUGUUUGCUUGUCAAGGUUGUUUUUAGACCCUGAUGCCCUGAACUCUUGCUUUUAUAUGGCAGUAUAAAACUAAACCAAUAAAUGUGUAAUU